GACGAACGCUGGCGGCGUGCCUAAUACAUGCAAGUCGAGCGAACAGACGAGGAGUUUGCUCCUUUGACGUUAGCGGCGGACGGGUGAGUCACAUGUAGGUAACCUACCUAUAAGACUGGGAUAACUUCGGGAAACCGGAUCUAAUACCGGAUAAUAUUUCGAACCGCAUGGUUCGAUAGUGAAAUAUGGCUUUUCUAUCACUAAUAGCUGGACCUGCGCCGUAUUAGCUAGUUGGUAAGGUAACGGCUUACCAAGGCAACGAUACGUAGCCGACCUGAGAGGGAGGUCGGCCACACGGGAACUGAGACACGGUCCAGACUCCUGCGGUAGGCAGCAGUAGGGAAUCGUACGCAAUGGGGGAGAGCCUGACAGAGCAACGCCGCGUGAGUGAUGAAGGUGUUCGGAUCGUAAAGCUCUGUUAUUAGGGGGGAACAAACGUGUAAGUAACUGUGCAGGUAUUGACGGUACCGGAUCAAAAAGCCACGGCUAACUACGUG
rnacentral:rRNA from 1 species